UGCAAGUCGGACGGUAGCACAGAGAGCUUGCUCUCGGGUGACGAGUGGCGGACGGGUGAGUAAUGUCUGGGGAUCUGCCCGAUAGAGGGGGAUAACCACUGGAAACGGUGGCUAAUACCGCAUAACGUCGCAAGACCAAAGAGGGGGACCUUCGGGCCUCUCACUAUCGGAUGAACCCAGAUGGGAUUAGCUAGUAGGCGGGGUAAUGGCCCACCUAGGCGACGAUCCCUAGCUGGUCUGAGAGGAUGACCAGCCACACUGGAACUGAGACACGGUCCAGACUCCUACGGGAGGUAG
rnacentral:rRNA from 1 species